rnacentral:rRNA from 1 species
AGAGUGAACGCUGGCGGCAGGCCUAACACAUGCAAGUCGAACGGCAGCACAGGGGAGCUUGCUCCCUGGGUGGCGAGUGGCGGACGGGUGAGGAAAACGUCGGAAUCUGCCUAUUUGUGGGGGAUAACGUAGGGAAACUUACGCUAAUACCGCAUACGACCUACGGGUGAAAGCGGAGGACCUUCGGGCUUCGCGCAGAUAGAUGAGCCGACGUCGGAUUAGCUAGUUGGCGGGGUAAAGGCCCACCAAGGCGACGAUCCGUAGCUGGUCUGAGAGGAUGAUCAGCCACACUGGAACUGAGACACGGUCCAGACUCCUACGGGAGGCAGCAGUGGGGAAUAUUGGACAAGU